rnacentral:lncRNA from 1 species
GAUCAAUCAUCCCAAUGAUCCAGAUCCAGUCCCCCUAUCUGAUCAGAGGUCAGGGCCAGGGGGAAACAACUGACAUAUGGAUUUGGAUGAAAGUGAUAUGGGUCUUUCAAGAAAAAACAAAAGGGAGAGGACAUUAACCAGCUGAUUUGACCCAACCAAGGAAGAUGGGAGGCAAUCCUUCCUUCAGGGCCAUCUUGUCCUAACCCUCGCCUCCAAACUGGGGUCAUGGGUCCAUCCCAAAGGUUAUGUGCAGGAGCCUGUUCUAUUGUUAUGCUCUCAGGCACCAGCACCUCCACAGACACUAUGCAACCCAUCACCUUUUGCUCUAUUUCAAGGAGCGCUGGGAUCCCAACCCAAGCCUGAGGGUCACAGAGAGCAUGGCUGGGAGCCUCUCAACAGUCACACUAGCCUCAGAGACCCUGGAAAGGGAGAGAAGAAACUAUUGAACUCUCCAGGGAGUGUGCCUUCAUAGGGCCCCAUAGGGAAGGGGGAUCAGGACUUUGAGGGCUGCUGGGCAAGGAGACUCCUACACCCUCUCUAGAAGAAAUGCUACUACAUCUUCUAAAAGCACUGACAACAAUCAGGGUGAUAAGUUUGAUGGGGACAGUGUAAUAUGACCCCAAAACCAAGAGCUGGGGUUCUACUCAAUGUAAGACAUGGACUUUCUAACCCACAAUGGAGCUAAGCGUGCUAUGGGGUGUGUGCGUGUGUGUUCGCCUGUGGCCAUUUCCUCUCCUCCCACCUGAUAAAAAAUGUUGGCAGAUUCUAAAUUACAAAGACUCAUAUUUACAAACGUCUGCCGUCUCCUCAACCCUACUGUGAUGUGAGGAGUGCUUAUCACUGCAGGGCACCAGCACCUCUCUCCUUCUUUCAGGGUAGCUGUGAUAUGUCUCAAAUAAAUUAAGCCUCCCAUUUCAUUUAUUUUCUUUCUUUUCUUUUCUUUUUUGGAGAGACAGUCUCACUCUGUCGCCCAGGCUGGAGUGCAGUGGCGCAAUCUCGGCUCACUGUUACCUCCGCCUCCCAGGUUCAAGCGAUUCUCCUGCCUCAGCCUCCUGAGUAGCUGGGACUACAGGUGUGUGUCACCACGCCCAGCUAAUUUUUGUAUUUUUAGUAGAGACAGGGUUUCACCAUGUUGACCAGGAUGGUCUCGAUCUCAAUCCACCCAUCUCGGCCUCCCAAAGUGCUGGGAUUACAGGUGUGAGCCACCUUGCCCGGCCAAGGCUCCCACUUCAAUGGACUCAUUUACUAGAAACAAACUAGGUCUUUGAUAAUGUGUGUGCUGGCCCGUGUGAACCACCAGCUUCUUGGAAGGGGAAAAUAAGAGUGCCUUGUUUUCAAACCAAAAAGAACUAGAAAAGAAGGGAAGGCCUGUCUUCCUCUGGCUGUGGUAGUCCAUCAUGGAAAAGAGCGUUACACUGCCCUUCCCUUGGGGUGCUGUGUGACAUACCUGCUGGAGAGGGCACAUGUCACAGGAGGGCAGGCAGGGGAAGCAGGCAGGAGAUGCAAGAGGAAAGGAGAAAGAAGGGGACUUUCCAAUUCAUCAGGACAUGGCUGAUAGCAGGAACUCCAUUUUUUAACCAUCACUUCCCCACCUCCCCCAGAAAAGCUGGUGGUGGGAUAAGCAAUCCCCUCUCAGCACACCUCCCCACCAGAGCCUUGUCUUGGCCCUCCAGCAGCCCUCUGGAUGAGGCCAACUCCCCACCCAAGGUAGACCCCUCAGAGUUGCUGAAGCAGAGGCCGCUACCCUGCUUCAUUCCCAGAGUGUGGGUUCAGGCUUAGAGCUUGUGACCAGGGAAGACACAGGAACGGAAAGGACUUGUUCAGGUGACAGCUUGUAGGUGGCAGAGUCAAAAGUAAACCCAGGACGGAGGCCAAGAUUAUUUCCCUACACCUCAUACUGCUAUUUUGUGUGGGAGUUUACUGGAGGGGCAGGGAGGCGGGAGGGGUCAGUGGCGGGCGCCUAUCAUCUUUCCCAGCAUUGUUCCCUUAAGAAAACCGUCAAUCAACCACUCACGACAGAGCUUGGGGCAAUCGUCCCAUCCUACAUUAGGAGUGACCCAUACUCCACCAGUAAUAGGGAAGAGAAUCAUAAGUGUCCCUUCUUUUUAUUUGCAUAAAAUCUCCAGAAAGAACUGGUAGUAUUUUUUACCUUCAAUGGGGAGCACUAGAUAACUCAUGGAGUGACUUUUGUACCAUUUGAAUAUCGAGUCAUGUGAACAUAUAGUCUACUAAGAAUAUCCUUUAAAAAAAAAAACUAUUUUCUGAAGCCCCAGGCCAGGAAGUUAGGACACUGGUUCUAUUCCCACCUCUGCCACUGUGGCUGCAACUUGGGGCACCUCAUGUAGCCUCUCUAGGCCGUCUCCUCUACUGCAAAACCUGAAGUAAUCCAUAAGGCCCCACUAUGGACCCCAAUUCCUAUGAUGAAACCCAAUCCCCAGUGUGAUGAUAUGAGGAGGCGGGGCCUUUGGGGAGGCAAUUCGGAUGUGAAGGCGCAGCCCUCAUGACUGGGAUUAGUGCCCUCAGAAGGGGCUGAAGGAGCCAAGAGUCCUACACUUCUACUAGGUGAGGACGCAGAAGGUGCCCUCUAGGAACCAGAAACCACUCACCAUACACCGAAUUUGUCAACACCUUGAUCUUGGAUUUUCAGCCUCCAAAACUGUGA